rnacentral:rRNA from 1 species
GACGAACGCUGGCGGCGUGCCUAAUACAUGCAAGUCGAGCGGACGGAUGGGAGCUUGCUCCCAGACCGUCAGCGGCGGACGGGUGAGUAACACGUGGGCAACCUGCCUGUAAGACUGGGAUAACUCCGGGAAACCGGGGCUAAUACCGGAUAACUCUUUCCCUCACCUGAGGGAAAGCUGAAAGAUGGCAUCUCGCUAUCACUUACAGAUGGGCCCGCGGCGCAUUAGCUAGUUGGUGAGGUAACGGCUCACCAAGGCGACGAUGCGUAGCCGACCUGAGAGGGUGAUCGGCCACACUGGGACUGAGACACGGCCCAGACUCCUACGGGAGGCAGCAGUAGGGAAUCUUCCGCAAUGGACGAAAGUCUGACGGAGCAACGCCGCGUGAGUGAUGAAGGUGUUCGGAUCGUAAAACUCUGUUGUCAGGGAAGAACAAGUACCGGAGUAACUGCCGGUACCUUGACGGUACCUGACCAGAAAGCCACGGCUAACUACGUG